AUUGUUUCAGCCUGCGACUUGAGGGUUAUGAGCUGGGGAAGAGACAGUUAAAGCUUCCACGCACCAGCAAGAUGAGUUGUACCACACAGCGCCCAUGCCAAGGUCAGCAGUCUGAAUGGAGCUGAGACACUUACUGCCCGUGCCAAGCAGUGCCAAGCACCUCUGGAAGCCCCUGCCUAGGACCCCCAAAUUUAGAUUCAUGCUGCAGUCUGGAGAGUGUUUUGACGGCUGCCGGGCUACAGGGAAAAGCGCACUGCACACUGCCUCUGAGAUGAGACAGAGCUCUCCAGGCUGGGAGUCUGGGGAAGCCGGACCUGGGUAGCGCUGCUCAGGGAAAAGCGGAGCCCUGUUCAGCAUUGGUCACCAGGUUGCAGGGGCAUCACUUCCUUUAUCCAGCAUCCUGCCUCUGCACCAUGUGAAGAAACCAACCCACUUUCCAAUGGCAAACCCAAGUUCAUGCAGACCAUAUUCUCCAACGUCUGUACUUCCCCUACCAGUUGGAUCUGUGUUCUUUUGCAGUUCUGGGGACUUUUCAAGACUCUACUGACUAAAUCUGCAAAGAGUGCCGAUAAUGCAACUCUUAAGCUGGCUUUCUGAGCUAUCAUGAUGUCUUUCCCUCUCUUUGUGCCCAAGACCGUGUGCUCUCUUGCCUUUGAAGAUCCAUGAUGUUUGAAACUCAUGAGACCCAAGGCAGAAGUGUCCAGACAACUAGGAGCUAAGUCAAGCUGCUUGCAUUCGCAAGCCAGGACUUGACUGGAGGGAAUACAAUAGAGGUGCAGACACUUCUGUGCUAACCUGUGAGUGCCUUUGGACCAUGAAAAUAAUGUGUCUGUGGGAAAGACAAUGGGUGGUUGCUUGUUGAUGCCUCCUGGGGUGCUGUUUGAUGAGCUCUGAAAUACGCACUCUGCUCACACACAGGGUCACAGAAGGCACGGGGAUCUUAAGUGCACUCGUUCUAGGGUCAUCAGUGAGCUGACACUAUGUGCAGAUGAGCCCCUCUGCUUCUCCUGGAAUCAUCAUUAGAUGGCCAGGAAGGAUCUCCGUGUUGGACUCCUCCAUUCUGAUACAUCCUGUCUUCAGGGAUAGAAAAUGUUCCUGGGGGAACACGGGAGCUAAAGAAACCUCAGCUUUUCUCGAGUGUCUGGAUUAUUCUGAACUACAUGGAUUAUGUUCAAGCCCAGGAUGAGUGGCUCAAAGCGUGGCUGUGAGUGAGUGAGACGAAGAAAAAUUGGGAUCAUAUUUUAUUCAACCAAGAGAAAUGGAAUCCAGCAUAGUAGAUUUCAUGUUCUUGGGAAAUAUGUCCUGUCAAUGGUGUUAUUGAGAAGAUAGGCAGAGAACACGUUCUCCCAGACAAGGAAGAGAAGAAGAUGUGGCCUUGGCUUUGUGAGCUGUGGCAGGGAGGGACCUAGCAUGGGAGCAAAGGCAGGUUGAAUUCAUCUGCCUGCUUCCAUAGGCUCCAUCCAGACUAAGCUCUACAGGAACUGCCACCGAGACAGAAGUCUCUCUUUCCUCAGUCACUUGGCCCAACUCAAAUAAGUCCAAAGGACAGAAGAGUAAUGUGUGAAGUAGGAGCCACAGGGCAGGAGACGCCAAACCAGAGGGGCUGGAACUCACCUGAAGCUGAUGGAGCCCCCCUGCCUACUCCACUUCUGACAAGCCAGUUCAUGGAUGCUGUCCACAGAUUUUUUUCAUUGCUGGUGGUUUAAUGCUCUCUGUAGCCUUGUAAUGAUUCAACCAGACAGAGGAACCAAAGUCGAUCAGUCCAUGACUAAUAGGGACUCUCCGGUCCCAGGCUUCACCACAUUCUGAGCAGCCAACAGGUGCCACAUGGGAUGGUAAAGUGAUUUAGGCCAUGACCCCUUCAGGUUUUGUUUGUUUAUCUGCUUGUUUCUAAGGUUCAUUUUAUUUUUAUAGAUAUGUAUUUGUGUGUGGGUGUCUCUUUAAAUAUGUGCUACAUGAGUGUAUGUGCCCAUGUAAGCCAGGAGAAAGAAUUUAAAUUUCCUGGAGCUGGAGUUAAGUUCUCUCCCAUAGGUGUUGAGAACCAAACUCAGGUUCUUUUUUUGUUGUUGUUGUUCUUGUUGAUUUUUAUAUUUUGAGUGUGCUCACACACACACUCAUGUACCUACACGUGCAUGUCUGUGUAGACACAUGUGUACACUUGUCAUGCAGAGGUUUUGUAUACAUGUGGAAGUUAGAGAACAACUAGAGAAGUUGAUUCUCUCCUUUCACCCUGUUCGAAGGAUUGAACUCAGGGUCUUAAGCCUGGCAGCAAGGGCCUUUACCCAUUGAGCUACCUGACAGUCCCCUUUCUCCAGUAUUACUGAGUAAUUAUGUAUGAAUAAUUUUACAUGACAACAUUUUACAUGGGUGAAUAAAUAUUGAACUUAACUAUAAAAA
rnacentral:lncRNA from 1 species